AUGGCGAGCGCGGCGCCGGAGCUCGACGUCCAGGACCUCCGCCUGCAGGAGCUCAUCCGGGGCUCCAUGCCGGACCGGCCGCCGUCCUCAUCGUCGUCCCGCGUGCCGCCGCUUAGCGACGACGAGAUCGGCCGGUUCCACUGCGCGGUCUGCAUGGAGCCCAAGCUGGUGUUCGACCGGUUCCGCGCCACGCCGGCCUGCGCGCACGAGUUCUGCGUCGCCUGCGUCGUGUCCCACAUCGAGGCCCGCGUCGCGGACGGCAACGUGCCCGUGCCCUGCCCGGCGGCCGGGGCCGGCUGCCCCGGCGCCAUGCACCCGGAGGCGUGCAAGAAGCUGCUCGUCAUGGACGUGUUCGACGCCUGGUGCGUCGCGCUCUGCGAGCGCGCCGUCGGGCCGGGACGCGCGCGCUGCCCCUACCGGGACUGCGGCGAGCUCGUGGUGCUCGACGCCGGCUGCGGCGCCGCCGUCGGCGAGGUGCCUGAGGAGGCGACCUGCCCUGGGUGCUCGCGCGCCUUCUGCCUGCUGUGCGAGGAGCCCUGGGACGACCGCCACGACGGCGGCCAAGGGUGCGCGCUCGACCGGCUCGCUGUGGGGCGCAGCUGGAUGCGCUGCCCGAGCUGCCGCGCCAUGAUCGACCGGAUCGACGGGUGCAAGAGCAUGCUGUGCAGGUGUGGCUCCGUCUUCUGCUAUGGCUGUGGCUCGUCUCGGGCAGAGGGGAUGUGCAGAUGCUAUGCUUCGCGACGGGAGGACUUCAUACCACUCGACGCCGGCUUUGAGCUCAUCGGGGCCGGGCCAAGCGCUGGCCUUUCCUCGACUCUCGGCAAGGAUGCGGUCAUGUAA
rnacentral:rRNA from 1 species